CACGCCGUAAACGAUGAAUACUAGGUGUAGGGGGUAUCGACCCCUCCUGUGCCGCAGUUAACACAAUAAGUAUUCCACCUGGGGAGUACGGCCGCAAGGCUAAAACUCAAAGGAAUUGACGGGGGCCCGCACAAGCAGUGGAGUAUGUGGUUUAAUUCGACGCAACGCGAAGAACCUUACCAGGGUUUGACAUCUCUCUGAAAGCAGCAGAGAUGCUGUGUUUCCUUCGGGGACAGAGAGACAGGUGG
rnacentral:rRNA from 1 species